UUAAAAAAUAUUGUUUGUUACAUACAAGGGUGCUGAUCAUGAAUGCUGUGUUUAGUUCUGUAUUCUGAUUUACAUCUCUUUAUACAAGCUAAGAAGUGGAUAUUUUCAUGCAUGAAUGAAUAUGGCCAGGAAGAAGCAGUUAAGUCCUGUACAAGCUACAUGCUUGCUUGGUAAUCUUUUGCAUUAGACAACAUCUCAGUAAUAAUGGGAUUUUCCUAAACCUAGGGAUUUUCUAAUUUGUCUUUGUGGUCAUCCUCUGAAUUGCUAAAACGUCUGACUGACAAUUCUGUUGAGGGUAACAGUAUAUAUGGUGUUAAUCAUAGCAUGGAGUGUUGACCAGUAGAGAUGAUCCAUGCUGACCUUGUAUAGCACCAUAUGCACUAGGAUGAGUCUGAUUCUGAAUAUUUUCUAUCUGUGUAAUGCACUGUAUUUUCAGCACUUUUGCUAGUAUACCUCACCCCCUCUCUCACUUUUGACUUCAUUCAGCAUCUUGACCAACCCUCAUGUCCAACAGCACAAGUCUGUAGAACAUCAUACUUUCAGUAGACACAAAGGGCUGUCAAGCAUCAACUUGAGCCCUUUGUGAGAUGAUUCCAAUUGCUACAUCAAGGAGAAGCCACCAUCAAUACUUGGCCAAGAGUACUAGUAAAAGCAAUCCAGAAAUCCUUACACAAACAGGUCUUGAUUCAAUGGUCCUAUCUAAUUAAUUAGACAGGGAUAAACAACAUGGGCUCUUUUCAGCCACCAAAAAAUUUGCCAACUCUCAUUUUAUUCCCUCUAGUAUUCUCAUUCUUAGAUGAGAACUCAACAACUCAACAGAUGUAACUCAACAACUCAAAACCAACCGUAAAGCAUAGUCACCUAUUUCCUCACAGGAUUACUUCUAGCCCAUCAUGGGCUACCCACAUCCUAUCUGUUUAAGUCCGUCAUCCAGCUGGCCAUACAGUACUCCCACCUUCUCAACUCCCACACCAGUUCAGCCUCAUAAACAAGAAGCCUGCAGAUAGCUUGUACAUGAUUGGUACAGAAAAGGUUCCUUGCAGGGAGGGCUCAGGCUGAGCCCACCAGGACUGUGCUGGCCAGAGGCUCCAAUCCUACUACAUCAGCCUGCUUUGUGAGAAUAGGGAGACUCAAACAAGUUGCUUAGAGUAGUUGUUUCGCUUUGUUGGUUAAAUGUUCCAAUUUCAGCACAGAGAUUUUUGUUGUUAGCAAACUCGAGAAAAAUAUUUCGUUUAUGUGUUUUUCUUCCCCUCUCUAAAACCAUACAUUCAUAUUCUCUUCUUGUGAAAAGGUUAGUUUCAGGAGAAAUUUAUAAGCAGAACUGGGGUGUUGCUUUGCAAAGUACAUUAUUGGAAAAUACUUUUUUUUGGUUGUUGCUUUGUUUUUCUUCCCCAGUAGGGAAAAAUCUAAGCCAAACUAACAUGGUUCUUACUUUUAAGUAUGACACAGCUAUGAUUAAGGGAGGAAUCUGAUCUAUUCACCUCCUGCAACUGCACCUCUAAUACCUAAGUCUAGACCAGAACAAGCACAGAAUGAUGGGCACUUGCAGCGUGCAGACUCUGGUUGGAGUAGAUGAGUGAUGACAAAACUGACAUCAGCUUCUGCACCUCUCUGGCAGCUGCUCAUCACCUAUCCUGCAAAGCACUGGAAGGAGCUGGCCCAGCCCCGGAGCCAUCAGGAGCACUUUGUGUCCUAAACAUUGCUUCUCAGCAUGGCUGUUUGGUUAGAUGGGAAGAGGAGAAACCCGGGAUGGGCAGCACAGGCUGGCAUUGCAUUGCUUCGUGUCCCUGCACUGUGCAUUGAACUACAUGCACAGGGACCAAUUCCUCCUCAGUACAAAGCAACUGGCUUCAGGAAAUUACAUCAGGGCCAGCGUUUAAAAUACAGAAAAUACACAAUAAUAUAUUUGAAUAGUAUGCACUUUGACCAUAAUGACAUUUAGGUGGGGGGAAAAAAAAUGGUAAGUGACCAUCUGCUCCCAAGCUUGUUUCUGCUGUGUAAAGAAUGUCAAGGGUCUUUUUUAACUUUUCCGGAUGCAAACAAAUGGUUUAUUCAGCAAGGAUCAUGGCUACAGCCCAAGACAAUCAGCCAAGUGGGUUCGGAGAAAAAAUGACUUUUCAGUUCCAACCCCAGACCCUCCUUUCCAUUUUUUUUUCCAGCUCAUUAAGUUUGCAUUAACAAAACAUCACCAUUCAAAGGCAGGAAGGCUAUUCAAAGCAUUUGUAUUCUUAAAUGCCUCCAACAGUGAAAGACAAACACUUUACUUGUAUUAUCAGGUGAUUAAGUUUGCUUUUCCAUGUAUAUAAAUUAUAUUACUUGUACAAACAUAUAAAGAGGACAUCGGAUCAUUCACAUCAGGGCUGCAGGUUCAAAACCUUAAGGUCUUAGUCCAGCAAAGCACUUAAAGACACAGACAGCCUUAAAGCUUAAAGUGGUUACAGGGAUUUGUUGGAUCAGAGUUUAACUGUAUUAUUAAAACUACCUUCGUCCAGCUGGAGGCAUCUGUGAUGAAGGCUAGGAGGAGGGAGUGGAAUGGUGUGUGCUGCUGUGCCUCCUGGUGUUUGCCAGCCCCGUGGGCAUCCCUAGCCGCCUCUCCAGAGGCAUGGGGAGAGGCCCCUGAGCUGGUCAUGUUUUCCUCUGCUCAGGUACCUUGUGGUGGCCCCAGUAGGCACAAACAGUGCUAAGCCCCUGAGCAGCACAAACUGAAAUCGCAGGUCUGCAGCGAAGAGGGAGGCCGGCACCGCUGCUGUGCCCCUGCUAGGCCCUGCAUUGGGGGCUUAGCAGUAUAAUUACAUUAAUACAAUUAAUCCAUAAGAAUCCCUCCUUUGGCUACACUUACAAUGUUACAGCUUGUUCCCUUUCUCCUGUGAAAAUCACUAGCUAUUAAUACACAGAGGAUAUACGCACAUUAGGAGAUUGAUACACUGGGCACAAUUAAGUUAUUCCUACCUGCAAAAACCUGGUUUUCUUUAGAACAAAUCUAUUUAACAGCAGAAGAACAAAUAAAGCCACAGUUGCUUUGAGCUGGUCUCAGAAACCCUAGUUAUCUUUCACUUUGCUUUGAAUUUUCUUCAUGAGUUUAUGGUAGUGCCAGGCUGGAGCGUUAGCAUAAGGAAUUUCAGCUCCAGAUGGAAAAAUGAGGCCAGAUGAAAGCAGGUCGUCUGCUCGAGGAGGAAGAGGCAAACAGCCUGAAAUUUCCAGUAGGUCUGAGGCCACUUUUCAGGGCAGUGGCAGCCCAUGCAGACUUGCUAGCCUUUUCCAACUCUUAAAGAAAGUUAACUGUGGAUCCAACUUACCCUGAUUUUUAGGAAGAAUUUUUACUGUCGUCAUUACUGUUUAAAAGAGCUGCUACAUUAAUUCUGCAAUAAGGAUGAACUUAUUUUUUGCCUGCGAUUAUUUUUAUUUCCUCGCUAAUAACCAGAUUAUCUCAGUUCAGGUAGCAGGACAAUGGGACAGUAUUCUAGUCUAUACCUAUAAACUAAUUCAGCAGAAUGAGGCACUGUAAUAUAACUGUUCAUAUUAUAGUUCCAUUUAUGGACCUCAGCCAAGAUUAUUCUCAUACACCACUAGGAAAGCCUAUAAGAGAGGGAGAAUCCCUGUCUUGCUGAAACACGUAGAUCUUGAAAUAAGUCAGAGAGCCACAGAGCAGUGAAGUGGCAUCCCUGGGGCUUCUACAUCACACACAGGAGCACAGCAAUAGCGUCCUAAGACCCCAUGCAAUGCAUUCACAUUGCCUCAAGGCAGUAUUUCUCAGUCUGCAUCAAUUUUUGAUAUGGCAUUUUUGUUGUCUAUUUCUCCGUCUGUAUCAAAUUUUGAAAAGCAUUUUUAAUCAGCUCUAUUUUGAAAAAAAUUCGCACCAACUUUAGUAGAACAUAUUCAUCAACAAGAAACUUUGAACUGUAAUGGCAAAUGCUUAUUGCAGUGUUUAUGAUAACCUUUAAUGCUAAAAAUAGCUCCUGUAAACAAGCUUUGAUUAAUUCCCACUGUCAGGAUGUGCUCUGUUCCCAAGUUUAAGAACACUUUUUCCGUAGAUGCUUGCUCAUUUCCUUCAGUCCAACCUCUUGGAAUGAAUCUGAAGGCUCGAACUCUAGGCUCUCCUUACUGCUCAGGUACAAACAGACCCCUAGCAAACAGCCUCCUCUCUUUCAACAGCUUUGUUCUGACCAAGAGGUACAUUUUUGGGGGGGGGGCCUUCUACAAGGGAUCACAUCACCAACUCCACAGACUUGUCAAGGUUUGUCUCUUAUCCUGAAUCCAGCAAGUACCAGAAAGCUGCUCAGAUGCUGUGCAUAGUAGACACGAGGCUGCAAGUCCUCUAGAGGAUUGUAAAAGCUGCUUGGUGCCCGUCAUCCGAAGUUAGGGAAUAUGUAAGAGCAAAUUUAACCUGCAUCAGAGAGGGCAAUUUUGGGACAGACCUGUCUCUUCCCAGUUUAUUUUUUUGCAUUAGAGGAAAGCAACAGAUUUCCCACUCCCCCCCCCCCCCCCCCCCCUUGACAGAAGGUACAUCCUGUGCAAGGGGUUAUUUUCAAUACCACCAAUAAAUGCUUUCUUUUUUCACAAAAAAGCUAUUCUUAAACCUGAAUCUUCCUGAAGGCUCCUAUCUCUAGGAGCACAAGGAAUUUUGCUAAAGAAAACACUUAUGUUAAUGCUGCAAUUUUACUGCAGUUUGUACCUAGCCAAAUCCCUCAGAUUCUACUCUGAGAAGGUGCUUUGAGUCAUGCUGCAAUUGAUGAUGAGUAGAGGAACGCAGCAUCACAUCAGACCAGGCUUUCUGAGCACACCUUCUCCCCAAAAGGGAUGUCACUUCAGGCAGCUGAGGGCACUCGGUACCCAUCUCCACUCACUCCUACCAGCACAGCUGGCACAGAGCUAGUUUCCAAUUUAAUGAAAGCGAACAAGUGGGCAAGCUAUUUUUAAAGCACUGUUUUAUGCCACAAUGGUCGGAGAUUAGAUGCUGCUUGUCCAGACAUUCAAAAACAAUGUCCACAUCAGUUCUCCUCGCAGUUUGUGCUCUCCCUUAAAAACACAGAGAAAAGCUAUUUUUUCCCUUCUGCUUCCCACUGGUUUUCCUGCUCUGUUGUCUCCCUCCCUUGAAACAACUUCACACUGGCUUCCUUGUGGCCUCCCUUCUCCCAAACAACUUCCCGUCUGCUUCCCUGUUCCCUCCCCAUUUCUUCUGCUGUCUGCUUGCACAGAAGCGACUCCCACCCAGCUUCCUUUGCUGGAUUCUCUGCAGAAAAGACACCUGGGUGACUGUACAAUUAACAUGAGAUUGUAGCAAGCUGAUAAAGCUGUGCUUUCCUGAUUAGCCUAACUAAAAAGUCAGCAGUCAUGGCACAUUGAUGCCAAGGUGUCCUGGUUGCAGUAACUUCUAUCACAUGUGCGGUCCAAAUAAGCACUUAAAAUUAUUGGCACCCCAUAUAGGCUUCCUAAAGUGAAUUCUCUUUCUAAUAUUCACACUACAACACACUGAAUAAGCCUUAGAAACUACCACAAUACUAAGGGAGACAGAUUUAUUAUUGUGUGGAAAAAGACAAUUAUUUUUCUUUUGCCAUCCAUUCAUACCCGAAAAGCACAAGCUGUACUAGGGAAUAGUAAGAUACAAAUACUGGUAUUGGUCUUUCUGACCACGCUGAAAGACAUAAGCUCCUGAAUCCAAAAGCUCCAAUAUAGAUGACCACCAAACAGCCAAUUUUUAGCAGCAACUUUAUGCGAUCAAAGCCUUUACUUGAACAAAGAUCUAUUCUAAAUUUAUCCCAAUGACACUAAUGCAGCGACGGCAAAAUGUAUUAUGCCAACAGAAUUAGAAGACAGCUUGAAAAAUAUUUAAGAGGUCAUAAUUAAAUGAUAUUUCUACUAACAUUCCAAUUAUACCGCAUACUGUUGUGUGCACAACAUGGAAACAGUAUUAUAAAGCCAUUGUUUCAGUUUGCUUCCUGUGAUACUAAUCUCAAUCAGGCCGUCAGACUAACAGCCUGCAUUUCUAAAUGUUAAAGGCUUCCUCUCCAACAUUCCCACACAGAAUUGCCUACUGUGAAAAUCAAAGGGAAACGCGUUACUAAGUAAAGAAGCAACUUUUAUAAAGCAAAGCCUGGUAUUUUUUACCCUUUUGAACUCUGAGAUAUACAACCAGCUAUUUCCUAUUAUGAUAGGAUGCAAGGGCCCGGCGGAGGCCCCGCCAUGGCUGCAGGAGAAGCGCACCCACAGCCCAGACGCUGGGCCUUCCAGCAGCACGUAGCGCCGAGCUCAAUGCAUGCUCAGACUCCAGGCUCUGCCUUUCACCUGAUGGAAGAACGUAGGCACAGAUCUCCCAAGGUCUCAGCUUUCUGCCAGCUAAAUAAUCAUUAUGCAGGCACAGCUAGCCAAAAAGUCGAGUUACACAAGCGAAAAGCUCUGUUCCAAGUCAGAGAAUGGUACAACAGGGCAUCAAGCGUUCAGUGCCAAGGGACGGAGGCUGGCACACUGCCUGAAGCCAUCCAUCUGAAGCAUGAGGAUACCCCAUCUCUGGAAAUGUCAAGGCCAGGUUGGAUGGGACUCAGAGCAGCCUCAGCUGGUGGGAGGCAGCCCUGCCCAUGGCAGGGGGCUGGAAUCACUUGGGUUUUAAGUUCCUUUCAACUCAAGUCAUACCAUGAUUCUGUGUGCUUGCAGAAAGAUGAGGAUGCAGUCCCACGAAAGCUCUCGCUUGCCCUGUUCCCAGUAAAAUUGCCAUUUUACUGGCAACAAACAACAUUAUUAAAUAUAACGUCUUCCACCAGGAGCUUUUGAUAUAAUUAAUAAUAAAUAACAAAAAUACUAAUCAAGUAGUAUGUUUUUCUCUACUAACUUCUGAAGUAUUCACCAAGCGGUAUCCCAGGCUUAUUUUAGUGACAUUGUGUGUGCGUGUAUAUGUGUGUAUAUAUAUAUAUAUAUAAGUACAGUAAAUGUUAUUUCAAUGUCCUAAUUAAUGACAGAACACAAACUCCCACUUAACUCCAGUUUACACUAAGAGUCUAGCCCAAAUAAUCAGUACUGUUCCAUGAAGACAACAUAAAGCAAAGAGGUCUGCAGGCUGGGGUAGGUGUUUGUCUCUCAUGCAUGCUCCAGUUCUCUGCCACCCCAUAGAGUUCCCAGUUAAUCUGUCAGAGAUGACAGAAGAAGCUCUGUGCUACCCAGCACUGGAGUUAGGCUCCUUAAAUGCAAUGCAGAGUUAAUUAACUCUGAAUUAACAGUCUGCUAGAUGCGACUGUCAAAUGGGGGCAGUUUUGGUUGGGUCUUGGAAAGAGGAAAACCAACAGGGAUCUCAUAAGCCACUUCCACUUCACUCCAUGCUCUUGGCAAAAUCUCUUCAUAUGGGAGUAAAAAAAUAAUCAUUUUGAAUUAAAUUAGACAUCCUAAUAGAGAAAAUUUGUGUCUUUAUGAAGACUGACAUUGCUCAGCUGACCACAAAGACUUUGAUUCCGCUCUCACAGGAACAGGUCAGAAAAGCAACACCUUUCCAACAUUAGCUGCAUUAAGUAAGUACUGUACAACAGGCCUGAAUGGCAGAAGCUUUUCAAAAACUCUCACCUGCCAAAAGUUUGCUUAGAAAUACCUAUAUUCAAUUUUCCUGCUUUCCCUGCUCCUGAGGGGAAGAAACGGUACUCAAACUGACAUAAAUUUGCUUUGGUUAGAAUAGCACUCUACCUAUGUGAAUUUCAGGAAUCUCAGCAAGUGUACACUGCACAAUAAUAAUUUUAAAAAAUAUAUUUCAAAAUCAUUAUUCUGAUAAAGAAAGUUCUCUCUCUGAUUACCACUGAAUUCCAAAGCCUGAUAGGUGUUCUCUUUCCAAUAUUCGAGCUAAACAGUUUCAGCUUUCUUGUUUAGCUUGAUUUAAGCAUUAGCCAAACCUGGAAGAAUAUAAGUAGCAGAUGAGCAAUAUAUUACAAGUACUCAGUUGUUUUCUAGCUUGAAUUCUUUCAUUUCCAUGUAUUCCCCAUGUCAGAAAAUAAUAUCCAACUCUGCUAAAAAAAUCAGUCCCUUCAGACUAACUUAAGCUCAAUCCCUCAAAAGGGAAACAUUUAAAGAUUUUGAAACUCUGAUCCACACCUCCAUGGACAAAUCUGCAUGAGGUGACUUAAUCCAAACCAGUAUUUUAACUGGGGAAGCAGAUCAGACUAAAGGCUAAGAAAACAACUAACAUAGAAGAGAUUUGGAACAUCGUUAAAACAGUCUGUCACAACUGUAACAUUUCAUUUCCAGAUUCCUGUCUAACUGCUUGGUCACGGUGAUACCUAAAGAAAAUGUGUAUCGACUACACAAAUCACACUGGCUUUCAAGCAGUGUCACAGAAGACACACCAAAGUAUGCAAAUAUAUGAAUAAUAUAUCAAUAUAUUGAGUCGUCAUCAGUAUCAAAUAAUACAAUCUUAACCCUUAACACUUAAGAAGUGCUGAACCAAAUAUUUUGUCUGUAGAACUUUGUCAGUAAAUGGAAGUGUAUUUGAAAAGUUCACUUUAAAUUCAAUGGUUUUCAGGUCAGCAAAUAUUUUCUUCUCACAAUGACAGCAUCAAACUAUUUUCUUUGAACAUCCACAGACACAAGCAUUAUUUAUAUUAUCUGUUACAAUCCUGCAGAAAUUUGCUUUUCCUAUGCUGUACAGUCACUAGUUCAUCUAAUGUAAAUAUUUGUAAAGCUGAAGCUGGUUGUAGUUUUUUGUUUUGUUUUUGCUUUUUUUGUUUUGUUUUUUAAUGAGAAAGCCACUAAAAAAUUGGCUUGCUGUACAGCAUUUUAAAGAACGUUUACCUAUUUAAUGCACUUCAAGCAUUAAUUACAUGGAGAUAUCAAAGAUUAUUUCCAAAUGCUGUUUAGCAAAUAAA